ACCCUGGGAUCAUGACCUGAGCCGAAGGCAGCGGCUUAACCCACUGAGCCACCCAGGUGUCCCUCUUGGACUUUAUUCUUAAAGAACUUAUUUGGCAGAGA